rnacentral:rRNA from 1 species
ACAAGCGGUGGAGCAUGUGGUUUAAUUCGACGCAACGCGAAGAACUUACCAGGGCUUGACAUCCCCUGACCGCGUAUGAAAGUACGUUUUCACCUCGGGUGACAGGGAGACAGGUGGUGCAUGGUUGUCGUCAGCUCGUGUCGUGAGAUGUUGGGUUAAGUCCCGCAACGAGCGCAACCCCUACGUUUAGUUGCUAACGCGUGAAGGCGAGCACUCUAGACGAACUGCCGUUGACAAAACGGAGGAAGGUGGGAUGACGUCAAAUCAUCAUGCCCCUUAUGUUCUGGGCUACACACGUGCUACAAUGGCCGGUACAGACGGACGCAAAGCCGCGAGGUGGAGCAAAUCCUAAAAAGCCGGUCUCAGUUCGGAUUGCAGGCUGCAAUUCGCCUGCAUGAAGUCGGAAUCGCUAGUAAUCGCAGGUCAGCAUACUGCGGUGAAUACGUUCCCGGGCCUU